CCUUUUUCUUACAGAAUCACUGUGGUUCUUUGAGGAACAGAGUCCUGGACCACAGGCAGAAUACAUUGUGAGCUUUCUGUCCAGCAGCAUUUAGUAUCUGGAGGAAGCAGGCACUGCUGUUAUUUGCUGUUGCUGGCUGUCAUGCUGCAUUUUUCCAGCUGGUGCUGCUUCUUUGAAUACCUGUUUGCACUGGGAGGCCACUAGAUGUGGUUCAGAGGAAGCCUGCCAAAAUUUCAGAACUCUGCAUCUUCUCCUUGAGGGCAGACCACUCUCCUAGUGGCCUCUGGAAGCCUGUAUCGAGAUCAAAACUUUGUAAUUCACUUUGCUACAUGGUGAAAUAAGACGUGUUUUUUCUCUUCCCACUCUCCAGAGUUGCUGUCCUUUACUGCCUUUUAGAGGUGAUUAUCACUCCAUUGCUGGCUUCCGGAUUCCAUCCUCCCUCUGAUCCAAGAUCUGUCCUCUCUGGUCUGAAACACUGAUAUCACAGAAGAAAUCAGUUUUUCUGGUUCAGGCUAUUCAGAACUGUUGUUCUUGAGCAAAACAGCCAAAAUAAGAAGAAAGUCUCAAUGCACAAGGAUACUGAGUUGCUCAAGCAUGUGCAAAAAAAGACCAAUGAAGCUGGUGAAGUGACUAGUAAACAAGAUUUAUGAGGAGUGGCUCAGGACACGUGGACUGCUCCACCCUGUAGUGAGAAACACGUCUUUGGUGACACGGGUCCGCAAGCAGUCUGCUUCAAAACUGCAGGUUGAUUAAAAAAGAAAAAAAAAACCUACAAUGUUCACACUGCAGGAGUAUCUGUUCUUAAAACCAUUUACAAUAAAGAGGAAACAAAAUAAAAAUAUUGAGAAUGAAGUGGAAAAAUAAAGUAUGUGAUAUGGAGAAGUCAAUUUCGUUAAGAGAUCUGAAGAAAGAGAUGAGAGUAGAAAGAGAGCUGUUUGUAAUGGAAUAUCCAAAAACUGCAUGGGGCAUUUGAGCCACUGUGAUCAGGUUGAGGCAGAUGAAUUCAACCUCAAGUGUCAUAAACACCAGGAAACUGGGAGACUGUCACCGAUAUGCUUCUUCCCAGUCAGAACUAUCUUGAUGGGCGGAGAGAGACAUGGUGUUGAUUACAAUUUGAACCUUGACCUUGAAUAUUUAUAAAAGAUCUAGAAGGAUCUGUUUAAAGAAAUUCUUCCCUGUUUACCAUACAUUUCCCUGUCCUUCCUGCUUCCUGUUAUUUGCAUGCAGAUGAUAUCUGUGCGCCAGUGACUUAGAGAGAGAUAUCAAGAAAAACAGUGCUGCUUGGAACCAAGCAAAGCAUAAUUAAAAUGAAUUUUGCCAGAAGUUCUGUAAGAAAAUAUUCUUGUAAUACCUAUGAAUGCUUUCCUUUAGCUUCUCAGAAGCUGGAGCAGAAAGCUCUGAAGGAGAC
ensembl:lncRNA